CAUCUGGAAUGUGCUUGGUGGGGCUUGGACAUGGAGUCUCUUCUGGGACUUCUGCUCCAUGACGAUGUGGAAGGUGACUCUUCAAGCGGGAAAAGCUGAACUUUUUUCCCCGAGUGCUGGACGCAGCCCCCAUAAAUAUGGAGCAUUUGUUGUGGCCGUCUCACGGAUGCCCAGGUAAAUGGGCUUUUGAACACACAGACAGCCGCCAGAAAGGAA